rnacentral:rRNA from 1 species
GACGAACGCUGGCGGCGUGCUUAACACAUGCAAGUCGAGCGGUAAGGCCCUUUCGGGGGUACACGAGCGGCGAACGGGUGAGUAACACGUGGGUGACCUGCCCUCAGCUCUGGGAUAAGCCUGGGAAACCCGGGUCUAAUACUGGAUAUGACUCCAUGACGCAUGUUGUGGGGUGAAAGCCUUGUGCGGCUGAGGAUGGGCCCNCGGCCUAUCAGCUUGUUGGUGGGGUGAGGCCUACCAAGGCGACGACGGGUAGCCGGCCUGAGAGGGCGACCGGCCACACUGGGACUGAGACACGGCCCAGACUCCUACGGGAGGCAGCAGUGGGGAAUC